CCUUCGGGGAGCCUCCUCCCUUCGCCCCGCCCCUCUGCACAGGGGACUGGCGGUGCGGCCGGCGCUCUCUGAUUGGCGUCCGCCUCAGGGUUCCCGUCGGCACCAGCGUGUGCCAAGUGGGGAACAGGUUGGGAGUUGCUGGAAGUGGAGGCGGGGGAGCGGCCACUGGCAGUGAGCGCGGGCGGCGGCUGGGCGCAAAGUAGAGAGCAGUCCGUAGUUUAAGCCUUUCCGUCGCCCUCCGGCACUGCCAGUACCACGGACUCCACCCUGCCGCGGCCCCUCGGUGACGCGUGCAGCUGCCACUCGACCAGGAGCUUUCCCAGAGGGUUCUGAACCUGCUCCUCCUCAGUCCAUCCAGCCAACCAGCAUUUUCCUGGAGUUUAUUGGUGAUCCCAAGUCUCCAGCCUGGAAGGGCUACCUCCUCACGGUGCUGAUGUUCUCUCGGCCUGCCUGCAGACGCUGUUUAAGCAGCAGAACACGUACUGGCUCAAGGUGCUGAAGAUAAGGCUGUAGUAUGCCAUCACUGGCCUGGUGUACAGAAAGGAGAGCAAACGAGGCAGAAGGACUUGUGGGCUCGAUUCACCAGCUCUAUCCUCAGGAACUCGAGGACCAUCAAGUUCCAUGGCUGGGAGGGAGCCUUUCUGGACAGAAUCCUGGGCAUCCGAGGCCAGGAGCUGCGUACCUUGUGGACCUCUGGCCUCCUCUUCUUUAUGUCGCUGGUGUCCUUCCAAGCAUCUACAUUUCUGGUCAUGUCACUCUAGUCUCUAUGCUGAGCAGGACUGGGGAAGGAGUGUGGAACUCAGAAGGUGAGGUGGCCCAACAGAUGCUGUCCUGGGCUGAGGCCAUGUUCUCAUGGGCACUGAAGAGGCUCUGCAAACCCGUGUUGGACCUGUAUGGCCUCAUAGCCAGGAACUACUCAGUGGUGGUGACGCCGCUGCUGCCUUGGGGUGAUGUGGUCUGGGUGACUGGCUACCUGAUGGAGGAGAAGGUGCUGUGGCCACUCCAACAACUGUCCAGGGCCAACAUGCCGUCCAAGUUCUACUGGCUCAGAUGCCAUCUGCUGCAGGGUCUCUGGAUGUAUGAGUCCUGCCCGGGGCUGUGCCACCCUCCUCCCUUGGAGCCCCCUGCCCCAUGGGCACAACAGCAAGGCCAUGCAGGGGCAGACCAUGCCCUGGCAGCCGGGGCCCAGCACGUGGUGACUUUUGAUGGCCGAGUGUGA
rnacentral:lncRNA from 13 species